UACGUAGGGUGCAAGCGUUAAUCGGAAUUACUGGGCGUAAAGCGUGCGCAGGCGGCGGCUCAAGUCAGGUGUGAAAUCCCCGGGCUUAACCUGGGAAUUGCGCUUGAAACUAGGUUGCUAGAGUGUGGCAGAGGGGGGUGGAAUUCCACGUGUAGCAGUGAAAUGCGUAGAGAUGUGGAGGAACACCGAUGGCGAAGGCAGCCCCCUGGGCCAAUACUGACGCUCAUGCACGAAAGCGUGGGGAGCAAACAGG
rnacentral:rRNA from 1 species